CUUGCUGACUUUUUGGGGAUCUUCAGUAUAUAAAACCUUUCCUGAGAGAUUGUUCCCUGCAGUCACUGAGGAGUGAUGACAAUAAAAGGCCGAAUUGCAGUGUGCCCAUCAGCAGUUUGCUCUCUGUGGGGUGCACAAUGACAAAAUCUCCGGAAGCGAACCACUGGUCUGACCUCAGUAACAUCAGGAUUGAAGCUUUGCACUUGGGCCGGCUUUCCAAGAGGGGUUUUCCCAAAAAGAGCUCAGAUCUUUUUAAGAAAAAAUACUCAGUGAAUCUGAGACAUCGGGCCUUAAAUGAGUAGUAAAUACGUUUCUAGAUACUUUACAGUAUACUUGCUGAAUCAAGGACUGCUAGAACCAUAAAACAAUAACAGACUUUCAAGAACAGGUGUGUUCCCACUUGUUCACCAAAUUCCCCAAGAGGAUAGCUUAAUUGGCAAGUCUCUCCUUUUGAGAACAUUAAAGUUUAUUUGCUCAGUGAAAGCUGAGAUUAAGUCAGUAUAUGUAUGUUACCAAGUAGAACUUGAGGUAAUUACAUGUUUGGUCAAAAGCAGUUGCUUUGAGCUCAGCGCAAACCCUGUUUUGUGAUUUAGAAAGCACAGGGUGCCGGCCUGAACCAGAGUGAGUCUUGUGUAUAACAUACGCUGUGCUUCUGUGAUGCAACAACCAAUUAGAAAAGCCACCUACGCCUUUCCCAGUUAAUUCUGGUUUUUGAAGUUUUAAAAAGACAAGCAUUUCACUUUAAAAAUGCUAACGUGUAAUUCUAGUUAUUAAAGUGAAAUUUCUAUAAUGUCCUUAUCAGCCAUGCAGCUAGAGAUUUGCCCUUAUCCUAAGAGCAAAGUAUAAAAUAAGUUAUAAAUUGAAAAAUGUAUGUGCAUCACAUUAAUUUAGGAAUAAAAGUCAGUGCCUUCUUUUUGUUGAGGCAUAAGCUUGUAUAUUAUGGGCUAAUGAGAAACCUGGGAAUCCCAGUACUUUCUGUGGGCUUGAACUACAUGGGUUUUGGAUCCCAGGAUUGUGCUUUUGGAAGCAUCUUAGGGAUUUCCUGAUUAGAACAGUAGUGAUUGCAUAAAAAGAACAGAUUAAAGUGAAACCAGCCAAAUGUCUUAGUAGGUAGAGGGUGCAAGAAUAUUAAAGAAUAUAUAAAAAGUUCUUCCCAUGCAUUAAUUUUCCAGAUAUCCUUAAAAUGUUCUCUUAAAGUGCUAUUACUCAAAGUAUUUAAAAUAGGUACAUGAGGAACGCCUGGGUGGCUCGGUUGGUUAAGCGUCCGAUUCUUGAUCUCAGCUCAGAUCUCAAUCUCACAGUUUUAAGUUCAAGCCCUACGUUGGGCUCCACACCAGAUGUGGAGCCUACUUUAAAAAAAAAAAUUUUUUUUUAAAUAGGUACGGGAUCCAUUGUUCUUCCUGGGAAUGUGAAUCAUUACAGAAUGUAUUAAGUAGUGAUGAUUUGAAGAUUUUACAGCUAGAAACUGGAACUAGAAAAUCCAGAGAAUUCAAGAUGGGUCAUGGCAGUAUAUUGAGCUACACUUAAAAGUUGAUUAGUUACCGAAUCCCAGGAUUAUAACUUAUUUCAGAAGGUGUUUCUCCAGUAUCCAAUGUCUUCAACAACCGGAAAAGGCCAGCAGCUUCUCGUAUCCUACUGAAUUCAAUACAGAAUGCCUGCACUUCUAUAAACAAGUCCUGCACAUUAAUAAUUUUGUUACGGAUCAAGGACUGGAGAAAGACACACACAAGACGCACCAAACGAUUCUGGAAAAAAACAAAACAAAAAAAACCAAAUUUAUUGUACCCGUUUUCUUGGCAGUAAAAUGACCAAGGCCGGAGAAGCAGAACAAAGAUCCAGAGAUCCAAGACUCCUUGGAUCCGAAACAUUUCCUACUGCUGGCUCCUGCUGAUAGGAUCAUUUAUUGUUCAUUUAUCAUGUGGAGGACUAAGGACAAAAUGCUUACAAUAAAU